ensembl:antisense Gm29018 predicted gene 29018
CUCACACCAUCUCAUCUUCAUGGCUUCAAGGAAUUCUGGGACAAGACACACUUACUACUUCAUUACUUCAUCUAUCGUGCCAUUCUUGCAGAAUCUGGUGAUAGAAGGACUUUAUCAUAUAAAAAGACUCAGGAACCCCACAGCCCCAUGAUUACUGCCAUCAGCACACCCAGGCAUAGUGGGAAAAGUGCCCAUAUAGAAGACUGAAGAGUUCUUUGUGGCGUUGGGAUGGCAACUCGGUAGUAAAAUGCUUGCCUCACAGCACAAGAGUGUUAAUUCAGUCCUCAAACCCCAAUAAAAAUUCUGGACAUAA